UAGGCAAGAGAACUAGGCAACCAAAUGAUUUUUCCCUAGAAUUAUGUAGCAUUGCUCCCAACAAAAGGAUAAAAGAGAGAAGCAAGCUGCUGUUGAUUCAUUACUUCACUGCUUGCUGGCUUGCUUCCUUGUUAUCUUCUGCCUGCCAUGAACUGUUUCUCCUCUGCGAUGCCCCUCUGUCAUGUCACCCUGCCUUGGAACCAGCCAAUUAUGAACUGAAACCUCUACAAACUAAUGAUGAUGUGUAUGUUCUGUGCAUUCAUCAGUAUUCCUUGAAAAACAGAACUCAGCCUUUAUACUACAGAAAUAUCCUACAGAUGCCGCACUGACAUCAUGGGCUGGAUGGAAAUUACCUUCAAUACACACGUCUCUUCAUAGAAAUCCAAAUUCUUUGGUUCGGUGUGUGUGUUGGAUGGGAGGAGUUGCAGAUAUCGAAGACUUGUAUCAUCCAUAGCCGAGGUUGGUGGACUGGCUCAGGUUAGAGGGAAGCUCACUGUACUGUUUGCUUUUUUUCCCCUAGUCCUCAUGUAUUAAUGUUGCUCUUCUAUUUGAAAAUUUUUUGGCUCCCAUAUUUAGAUACUAAAGUCUUUAUCUUUUUCUUUGCCCAGAGCCUGUUAUAAAAUAUAUUAUUCUAACUUACACCCUAUUUAGUCUUUUGAUAUGACUCAAAGGGAGACUUCUCAGUAGCACCCUCUCACAUACAUGAAAAAAGGAAACUGGUACCUCAGCAGACAACAAGCAGUGCUCUUCGACCAUCUUGUCUACAAUACAAUGUUUUAAAUUUUUUCUCUAUUCAUUAUUCAACAAAGAUUAGCAAGACCUUUAGAAGUCAGUAUGUCAAUGAGAAGUGUCUGCAACUUGGUCAUUUAUUCAUAUUUAGCCUGUGUAGUGUUUGCCACUCUUCCUCUAGCCUCUGCCUCCAAUUCCAGGUCACCAGGAAAGUUAACAGCUUUUUAUACUAUUACAAGCAAGUACUCAUAGAACUAAUUGCCUUCAGGGUUCUAAAUAGAAUGUUUACUGUGUAGCUGUUUGGAUCUGCCAAGAUAACUUAGACACUUCCUUAUAGUAACUCUGAGAGACCGUGUAUUGUCAGCCAGGUAGAUGACCAAGCCUCUUCACACCGAUUUCUAAGGUAAUCAUUGCAUACUUCACCCACACUUUGGAUCAUUGUGUUCCAAAUGAUGGUGUUUAUAUCUAUGGUCCUCUUCAUGACCAAAAAAAAAAAAUGGAGAUUUUUAAAUUCAUAAUCAAAACACUGUGAUCCUCAGGCAAAAGGAGCCACAGAUUUACCGAUGAUUCACUGUUGUCAGUCUGACAUGAGGCAAAAUCUUUCUUUUUGCACAGGAUAACUUGAUUUAUAAGUUUAGUAUAAAUCUCUGAACAUCUCAUACAGGCAGGAAACAGGCAUUUAUGUAUUCAUCACAGAAACAAAUGCCUUAGUUACAGAGUAAGAAGGCCUCCAACCUCAUCUUCUUUUCUGACUUAUAAUUAGGAAAUAAUAUAAAAUAUAUAUCUGUCCCUGAAGAGGCCUCCUCUUUUGUACCCUGUUACAUUUUUUCCAACUGUCCUCCCCACUUCCAUUCCAUGAUCCUUCCCAACUGUUCUUGCUAUUCCUCUUUGGAAUACCUGGACUCUCUUUUUAGACUUCCAUUAAGUCUAAAUCAUCAAAGUGACAAUGCACUAUCUCUGAGGUUCAUAUAAUUGCUCUGUAAAAUUGAAAUGAAAGUUGAACUAGGAAUGAUCUAUUAAUUGCCACAUUCAACCAACUGGAAAUUCUUUCUAAAAAUAAGCUAUUUUUUAUGUAUGUGAUCUCAUAGAGUAAGUCAGAGUUUUCUUCCAGAAUUAAUAAACCUAUAUGUUUGAUUAAAGUCUAAUAUAACAUGAUUAUUUUCUCUGAGGGCUCAGAUGAAGUAUUUUAUAUAACCGAGCGAUUCUUAUUGUUCUUUGAAGUCCUAUGUUAUAGGAAGCAUUUAAAUUGUGACAGUGUUUAAAACAGUAUUUGUGUUUUAGUUGUACUGGAAAUAAUAUAUUGAUUUAUCAAACUAGAGAUAAUCAUGAAGAGGGCAAGAAUCUA